GACUGAGGCACAUAUUAAAUCUCUCAGCAGAGACAAUAUUUAGAGAAAGAGAGAGAGAUAAAGAGAGGGAAUGAGUGAGAGGGAGAGUUAAGAGGCUGCAUCUGAGUUAGUGUUUAGUGGGUUGCUCUAUUCACUAUGUUUAAGCAUGGUCUGACUGACUGACUGUCUGAUUGACUGACUGAUUGACUACUGACUGACUGACUGACUGACUGACUGACUGACUGACUGACUGACUGUCUGACUGACUGACUGACUGACUGACUGUCUGAUUGACUGUCUGACUGUCUGACUGACUGAUUGACUACUGACUGACUGACUGACUGACUGUAUCGCUGGCAGCUGUUGGUUUUAAAUACUUUGGAUUCCUUUCCAACAACCAGCACAGGUUUAGACAGAGAGGGGAGGCAUUAGGACACUGUUUAGGCAUCCCAAAUGGCACCCUGUUCCCUAUAAAGUGUGUAGGUCUAGGUCAAAAGUAGUGCACUAUAGAGGGAAUAACAUGCCAUUUGGGAGAGUCUCAACUAUCAGAACGCUGUCUGACACAACAACAUUACUCUGACCAACUAGAAUACAGAUGAUUUCUGAAGUGGAAACAUGUUACAAUGAAAUGCACUGCAGCCAUUUGUUUCAGACGUAGAAGGAUUGUUAACGUGUUUACUGGGUUAAUAACACGGUUAAUAUUUGUCCUUGCAGGUGACUAUCGGGUUUGAAUCCAUGACUCCAUGAUGAAUACACAUGUAGUUAUGAGAGACGGGCGAGUGCUGUCAAGGGCUGAGUUCUUGUCAUUGCUGAACACGUACAACUGUUUUCUGAAAGACAAGACACAGCAGCAUCUUGUCUUCUAUGAGGUAGGUUGACCUUCGCUGCUCCGUUGAAUUAUUUACAUGUUUUAUUUGCACCAAAGAAGAAGAACAAGUAAUAAAAACAAAUCAAAUAUUUACUCAUAUUUACUACUUCGAAAUCAAACUUCUGCAGUUUACAUUUUAGUUAAAGUUUAAUUUAU
rnacentral:lncRNA from 1 species